AAUUAAUCUACCGCCCGUGACUUUAUCCUCUUCCAGUCUUCCACUCUUCCCCCGAAUCCGCCGCACUCGCAUCUCGUCUUCCCCACGAGCGAACCAAUCCCAGCCCGCCGCCGCCGCCGCCAGCACCUCUGCCAUCUCAAAACAUGCAGUCCGCCGGCGUCAGCAACCCCGAGUUAAUCUCGCACAGCCACCCCAGAUGCUUGCGCCGCUGCCACCGGUUAUCCCUAAGCACUUGUCCCUUCUGCCGCCGCCCCUACCGGCGCCUUCUCCGGCCUUGCCGCCGCCGAAGCGCUCCCCUAUGGAUUCGCUGGUUACGGCACGGGGCGGCCAGGACGGGGCAGUCUCCCAUGGAUUGAGCCGACGACCUGCUGUUUCUUGGGCCUGCGCAUGAGCAGCAGGAGGUGCCGGAUCUGCUUGGAAGCGGUGCUGCUAGGGCCAUGGAGUUUCCCCUUGCACCCUCCAGCUCGGCGGACGGCGGCCUCAUGAAUGAAGACCAUGGCUUCGGGGGCCCUUGCCGGGACGGCGUUCAUCAGCAAGCCACACGAGAUUUACAAUAUCAGUACGGCAUAGUGUUGAUAUCUUGCUCAUCGUUCAAAGAAGAAGAAGAAAUCAGCAAAAAGGAAUGGUGAUCUCCCAUUCUUAUUACUAUCUUAUAUUGAAGUAAUUUCCCAUUCUUAUUGGCAUCUUAGUGCUUCAGUAGGACUGCUUUCCUUUCACUGAUUAUGGUGGAAUGAAACACUUAGUUUGUUCCUUUUAUCAUGAAACCUACAGGAAGGGAUUAUCGAGAGAAUUGUGUUGGUAACUAUACAAGACUAGUGCUGGAUCUGUGAAAUCUUCAUAUUUGAUCAACGGUGUACUUGUACUGGCUUAUUUGCCUUGUUCAUGCAACUCUCUUCAUAUGCUCAUCAUUCUGUGUCCCAAAUUAAUCUGGGUUCUAAAAUUGACUAUUAUGAUUUGAAGGAAUAAAAUUUGUUCUUAUCUAUUUGAAGCAUGUACACAGGAAGAGGCUUAUGUCCUUCCAGCUUUGUCCCAGUGCUGCUGCCUACGUCCUUCCAGUCCACCCUGAAAUCGCAGGCAUCUUGUACUAGCUGACUAGCUCAUGCUUCAGGCAACUUGGGCAACAACUGCGAUGGCCAUUUAGUGGUGAUGGCUGGAAGCAUCUUGUGGAGUGGAAACCUUUUGGCCAUGGUACUAUGCAUUAAGGCCACAGCCAGCAAAUUCGAUGGAUCUGUGUUUUGUGGCCUCUCUGUUGGUUUUUCUAUCUAGAAUGUACCCUCAUUGUUGGUUGUUGGCUAUUUGUAAAGGAUCUAGAAUGUAGCUUGAGUGAGGGAACUAUCUGAUGUAUGAACAUCUUUAUGAUGAGUAUAUUAUGAAGACUUUAAUGGUGAUUAAGCUGAUGAGUCCAGACUUUAA